GACGAACGCUGGCGGCGUGCUUAACACAUGCAAGUCGAACGAUGAACCGGAGCUUGCUCUGGGGAUUAGUGGCGAACGGGUGAGUAACACGUGGGCAACCUGCCCCAGACACCGGGAUAACCAUUCGAAAGGAUGGCUAAUACCGGAUACGACCACUUCGGGCAUCCGAUGGUGGUGGAGAGGAUUCUGGUCUGGGAUGGGCCCGCGGCCUAUCAGCUUGUUGGUGGGGUAAUGGCCUACCAAGGCGACGACGGGUAGCCGGCCUGCGAGGGCGACCGGCCACACUGGGACUGAGACACGGCCCAGACUCCUACGGGAGGCAGCAGUGGGGAAUAUUGCGCAAUGGGCGAAAGCCUGACGCAGCGACGCCGCGUGAGGGACGAAGGUCUUCGGAUUGUAAACCUCUUUCAGCAGGGAUGAAGCGAAAGUGACAGUACCUGCAGAAGAAGCACCGGCUAACUACGUGCCAGCCGCCGCAGUAACAC
rnacentral:rRNA from 1 species